rnacentral:snRNA from 2 species
CCACUCUGGUUUUCCUUCAUAUCUAGUAAAUCUUUCGCCUUCCUACUAAAGGUUUCCGUGGAGGAGAGUACUGAAAUGAGUAUAUAACUCAAUUUUUGAUUUGCCAUGCAUUUUUGAGGG